GUCCAGGGAUGGAAAUCGAACCCACAGUGUUCCGCUUACUGGGCAGAUGCCAUGUCCACUAGGCUACCCUGGA